CAAUAUAAGUGAUGGCGACCGGCGCACGGGUGAGUAACACGUAUCCAACCUGCCGAUAACUCGGGGAUAGCCUUUCGAAAGAAAGAUUAAUACCCGAUGGUAUAAUAAAACCGCAUGGUUUAAUUAUUAAAGAAUUUCGGUUAUCGAUGGGGAUGCGUUCCAUUAGGCAGUUGGUGAGGUAACGGCCCACCAAGACUACGAUGGAUAGGGGUUCUGAGAGGAAGGUCCCCCACAUUGGAACUGAGACACGGUCCAA
rnacentral:rRNA from 1 species